GCCCCCAUCGUCUAGCGGCCUAGGAUGCCUGGUUCUCAGCCAGGCGACAGGGGUUCGAGUCCCCUUGGGGGUA
rnacentral:tRNA from 1 species